UACGGAGGGGACUAGCGUUGUUCGGAAUUACUGGGCGUAAAGCGCACGUAGGCGGAUUGUUAAGUCAGGGGUGAAAUCCCGAGGCUCAACCUCGGAACUGCCUUUGAUACUGGCAAUCUCGAGUCCGGAAGAGGUGAGUGGAAUUCCUAGUGUAGAGGUGAAAUUCGUAGAUAUUAGGAAGAACACCAGUGGCGAAGGCGACUUACUGGACACAUAUUGACGCUGAGGUGCGAAAGCGUGGGGAGCAAACAGG
rnacentral:rRNA from 1 species